GGUCAGAUCGGGCGGUGCGGCGGCCCGCUCGCCCAUCGCGCGGGCGUGCUUGGGGAGGAACGCGCCCCGGUUCGCGCCGGCGUCGACCA
rnacentral:tRNA from 1 species